rnacentral:piRNA from 1 species
UCCUGUAUACCCUUUCUACAGAGUUGC